CCCUCCUACAAAGGUGUGUCUGUGGUCUCCUGUCUUUGGACACGUAAGACUUGGAGGCAAAGAAAUGUGGAUUUGGAGGAGUCUGUGGCCAGCUUCCUCCCUGCAGGCCCAAGAUCAACCAUCCAACAUAG
ensembl:snoRNA